rnacentral:rRNA from 1 species
UGAACGCUAGCGGGAGGCUUAACACAUGCAAGUUGAACGGUAACAGGUCCUUCGGGAUGCUGACGAGUGGCGGACGGGUGCGUAACGCGUAUGCAACCUUCCUUAUGCAGGGGGAUAGCCCAUGGAAACGUGGAUUAAUACCCCAUAUUAUUAUAGAUAUGCAUGUAUUUAUGAUAAAAACUUUGGUGGCAUAAGAUGGGCAUGCGUCUGAUUAGUUAGUUGGUAAGGUAACUGCUUACCAAGGCGAUGAUCAGUAGGGGUCCUGAGAGGGUUUUCCCCCACACUGGUACUGAGACACGGACCAGACUCCUACGGGAGGCAGCAGUGAGGAAUAUUGGUCAAUGGCCGCAAGGCUGAACCAGCCAUCCCGCGUGCAGGAUGACAGCCCUAUGGGUUGUAAACUGUUUUUCUACGAGAAGAAUACCCGCGACGCGAUUGUGGAUUGACGGUAUUGUAGGAAUAAGCAUCGGCUAACUCCGUGCCAGCAGCCGCGGUAAUACGGAGGAUGCGAGUGUUAUCCGGAUUCAUUGGGUUUAAAGGGUGCGCAGGCGGGGAUGUAAGUCAGUGGUGAAAAGCUGCCGCUUAACGGUAGUCUUGCCAAUGAUACUGCAUUUCUUGAGUAUGGAUGAGGUAGGCGGAAUGUGCAGUGUAGCGGUGAAAUGCAUAGAUAUUGCACAGAACGUCGAUUGCGGAGGCAGCUUACUAAGCCAUAACUGACGCUGAGGCACGAAAGCGUGGGGAGCGAACAGGAUUAGAUACCCUGGUAGUCCACGCUGUAAACUAUGUUCACUCGCUGUUUGCGAUAUACAGUAAGCGGCUAAGCGAAAGCAUUAAGUGAACCACCUGGGGAGUACGAUCGCAAGUUUGAAACUCAAAGGAAUUGACGGGGGCCCGCACAAGCGGAGGAACAUGUGGUUUAAUUCGAUGAUACGCGAGGAACCUUACCUGGGCUUAAAUGCAGGUUGCAUUACCGGGAGACCGGUAUUCCCUUCGGGGCUACCUGCAAGGUGCUGCAUGGUUGUCGUCAGCUCGUGCCGUGAGGUGUCGGGUUAAGUCCCAUAACGAGCGCAACCCUUACCGUUAGUUACCAUCAGGUAGAGCUGGGGACUCUGGCGGGACUGCCACCGUAAGGUGAGAGGAAGGUGGGGAUGACGUCAAAUCAGCACGGCCCUUAUGUCCAGGGCUACACACGUGUUACAAUGGCCGGUACAAAUGGCAGCUACCCUGCGAAGGGAUGCUAAUCCCGAAAGUCGGUCUCAGUUCGGAUUGGAGUCUGCAACCCGACUUCAUGAAGUUGGAUUCGCUAGUAAUCGCGCAUCAGCCACGGCGCGGUGAUACGUUCCCGGGCCUUGUACACACCGCCCGUCAAACCAUGGGAGCUGGGGGUGCCUGAAGUC